rnacentral:lncRNA from 1 species
UGGCCAAAGAGAGCGGCUUUUUGAUCUGCAGACCGAGGAUGAAUUUUCUGAGGAGGAAGAAGAUUUAAUACAAUAUGAGAGAAGAAGAAAUAGGGACCGUCGAGACUAUGUUAGAAGGGGAGCAUUGCAAAGGUAUGAACAAUACAAUAGAGGAAAUCAAAGAAAUGAAUUUGGAAAUUAUAGACUAAGAAUGGAAUUACCAGAAUUCAAUGGGCAAUUACAUAUAGAAGAAUUUCUGGAUUGGAUUUCAGAAGUGGAAAGAUUCUUUGAUUGCAUGGAAAUUCCAGAUGCAAAAAAAGUUAAAUUAGUAGCACUGAAAUUUAAAAGUGGAGCAGCUGCAUGGUGGGAUCAGACCAUAGUUCGAAAAAGCGGAAAGCGCUCCCAAUUUCCAGGGAGCGCUUUUUUAGCUUUAACCGCUUUAGCGUCGCUUAAAGCGGUUAAAGCGGUUUAGCUAUAUAUAACCCUAAAU